rnacentral:rRNA from 1 species
CCUACGGGAGGCAGCAGUGGGGGAUAUUGCACAAUGGGGGGAACCCUGAUGCAGCGACGCCGCGUGGGUGAAGAAGCGCCUCGGCGCGUAAAGCCCUGUCAGCAGGGAAGAAAAUGACGGUACCUGAAGAAGAAGCCCCGGCUAACUACGUGCCAGCAGCCGCGGGAAUACGUAGGGGGCAAGCGUUAUCCGGAUUUACUGGGUGUAAAGGGGGCGCAGACGGCGAUGCAAGCCAGGAGUGAAAGCCCGGGGCCCAACCCCGGGACUGCUCUUGGAACUGCGUGGCUGGAGUGCAGGAGGGGAAGGCGGAAUUCCUGGUGUAGUGGUGAAAUGCGUAGAUAUCAGGAGGAACACCGGUGGCGAAGGCGGCCUGCUGGACUGCAACUGACGUUGAGGCCCGAAAGCGUGGGGAGCAAACAGGAUUAGAUACCCCUGUAGUC